CAGCUUACAUAAGAAGACACAAGAGUCUCACCAUUUCUUGCAUUUGUUUCCAGCAGGAAGAAGAUGAUGAGGAAAAUCCAUCUUUCCUGUGAAGAACCAUUCUUAAGUCAUCCCAGACUCUUGGUAGAAGAUUGCCUGGACUCUCUGACAGUACAUGUUGUGGAUUUCUCCUGAUGUGUGAAAAUUUUCACAGCUGUAUGCAAGACACAUUUAUCUAACUAAAGAGGUUUUUUUAAUCCCUAUUGGACUAAAGUGAGGAGAAAGGAAAAUAGAAACUCGUUUUUCCCUGCUCUGUGAGAACAAGACUGAGAAUUCUAUAGUCUCACUUGCUAUAGAGAGAAAGACCAGCUAUUCAGAAAAGAUAUUCACAUUUGGACACUCGUUGGCGUCAGAGAGUCACUGGUGCAACACUGGUGAGUGACGUGGGAGUCCGCUCCACUGGGUCAUGCGACUGAUCUGAAACCCUCGGCUCCACUGGGGUCUGAACCUAACAUUUACCUUUAAUGUGAUUAUACAUACAAGUACAUUUGAGUUUAUCAUCUUGCUUUUUUAUUUUAUUUGUCCCAAUCUGUCCUUAGUUCUCUUUCCCUCUUUGUUUGCCUUCCUUUGGGUUAAUACUUUUUAUGGUUUCAUUUUAUUGGUUUAUUAGCUGUAACACUUUAUUUUGUUAUUGUAGCACUUACUUCAGGUUUUAUCAUAUACACCUUUAACUUAUCACAGUCUACCUUCAAAUGAUAUUGCCCCAUAUCAUAUAUAUCAUAAGAGCCUUACAAUGGUGUACAUCCAUUUCUUCCCCUCUGACCCUUAUGCUAUAGCUGUCAUGCAUUUUCCUUUUUACAUAUGUUAUAAACCCACACUCAAUGAUCUUUCAGGGAGAAAUAAAAAUUUUAAAGUCAUGUA